rnacentral:rRNA from 1 species
CCGGAUGCGGAUCUCGAAAGCCUGUCCCAGUUCGGACUGGAGUCUGCAACCCGACUCCACGAAGUUGGAUUCGCUAGUAAUCGCAGAUCAGAAUGCUGCGGUGAAUACGUUCCCGGGUCUUGUACACACCGCCCGUCACACCAUGGGAGUCGGAAAUGCCCGAAGCCGGUGACCCAACCAAAAGGAGGGAGCCGUCGAAGGCAGGUCUGAUAACUGGGGUGAAGUCGUAACAAGGUAUC